GUGUCAGCAGCCGCGGUAAUACGAGGGGUGCAAGCGUUGCUCGGAAUUAUUGGGCGUAAAGGGUAGGUAGGUGGUCUCAUUUGUCUGGGGUGAAAGCCUUGAGCUCAACUCAAGAAGUGCCUCAGAAACGGUGAGACUAGAGUCCUGGAGAGGGUCGUGGAAUUCCCGGUGUAGCGGUGAAAUGCGUAGAGAUCGGGAGGAACACCAGAGGCGAAGGCGGCGACCUGGACAGGUACUGACACUCAACUACGAAAGCGUGGGGAUCAAACAGGAUUAGAUACCCCGGCAGUCC
rnacentral:rRNA from 1 species